UGGGGAAUAUUGCACAAUGGGCGCAAGCCUGAUGCAGCCAUGCCGCGUGUAUGAAGAAGGCCUUCGGGUUGUAAAGUACUUUCAGCGGGGAGGAAGGCGAUAAGGUUAAUAACCUUGUCGAUUGACGUUACCCGCAGAAGAAGCACCGGCUAACUCCGUGCCAGCAGCCGCGGUAAUACGGAGGGUGCAAGGGGUAAUCGGAAUUACUGGGCGUAAAGCGCACGCAGGCGGUCUGUCAAGUCGGAUGUGAAAUCCCCGGGCUCAACCUGGGAACUGCAUUCGAAACUGGCAGGCUAGAGUCUUGUAGAGGGGGGUAGAAUUCCAGGUGUAGCGGUGAAAUGCGUAGAGAUCUGGAGGAAUACCGGUGGCGAAGGCGGCCCCCUGGACAAAGACUGACGCUCAGGUGCGAAAGCGUGGGGAGCAAACA
rnacentral:rRNA from 1 species